rnacentral:rRNA from 1 species
CCAAAACUUAUUUUAAUCUGGUAAAAUAAUAAAUAUUAAGCAUAAAUAAAUAUGGGAUUUUAAGAGCCCUCCCAGUUUAUAUUUUUGAAUAAGAUAUGAAAAUAUACUUUAGCUAGCUUAUGUUUUAUGGGUAAAUUAGGUGCCAGCAACCGCGGUCAUACCUAACAUAAAAGUUUAUUUAUAUAUAAACAAAUUUUUCACAAAUAAAAUACUGAUAUGUGGUGAAAUAUUAUUAACUUACUACUACCAUAAUGUGAAUUUAAAGCAUAGCUCAGCAGGUAAACUAGGAUUAGAGACCCUACUAUUCUGAAUUAGUAAUCUGUUUAUAAGAAGUAAUUCCGAUUAACAGUUGAAACUUAAAUAUUAUGGCGGCUUAAUAAAACAAUUAGGGGAACUUACCAUGUAAAAGAUAAUCACCAUGAGUACACUACUUAUUCUUAAAACUUGUAUACCGUUGUCUUUAUGAAUAAUUUAAAAAGAAUUCAGUUAACUAUUUAUAUAGUUUAAGUCAAAUAUACGUGCAGUGGAUAAAUAAGCAUUGAGGUGAGUUACAAUAUUAAUUAUAUUCCAAAAGUAUAUUGAAUAAUAGCUGUAAGAUGGACUUAAAAGUAUAAUUUAAAAGAAAUGUCAAAAUUAGAAUCUGUUCUUAUUGAGUGUA